AGAGUUUGAUCCUGGCUCAGAUUGAACGCUGGCGGCAGGCCUAACACAUGCAAGUCGAACGGUAACAGGAAGAAGCUUGCUUCUUUGCUGACGAGUGGCGGACGGGUGAGUAAUGUCUGGGAAACUGCCUGAUGGAGGGGGAUAACUACUGGAAACGGUAGCUAAUACCGCAUAACGUCGCAAGACCAAAGAGGGGGACCUUCGGGCCUCUUGCCAUCGGAUGUGCCCAGAUGGGAUUAGCUUGUUGGUGGGGUAACGGCUCACCAAGGCGACGAUCCCUAGCUGGUCUGAGAGGAUGACCAGCCACACUGGAACUGAGACACGGUCCAGACUCCUACGGGAGGCAGCAGUGGGGAAUAUUGCACAAUGGGCGCAAGCCUGAUGCAGCCAUGCCGCGUGUAUGAAGAAGGCCUUCGGGUUGUAAAGUACUUUCAGCGGGGAGGAAGGGAGUAAAGUUAAUACCUUUGCUCAUUGACGUUACCCGCAGAAGAAGCACCGGCUAACUCCGUGCCAGCAGCCGCGGUAAUACGGAGGGUGCAAGCGUUAAUCGGAAUUACUGGGCGUAAAGCGCACGCAGGCGGUUUGUUAAGUCAGAUGUGAAAUCCCCGGGCUCAACCUGGGAACUGCAUCUGAUACUGGCAAGCUUGAGUCUCGUAGAGGGGGGUAGAAUUCCAGGUGUAGCGGUGAAAUGCGUAGAGAUCUGGAGGAAUACCGGUGGCGAAGGCGGCCCCCUGGACGAAGACUGACGCUCAGGUGCGAAAGCGUGGGGAGCAAACAAGGUUAGAUACCCUGGUAGUCCACGCCGUAAAC
rnacentral:rRNA from 1 species